AGACGGAGGGUGCAAGCGUUGUUCGGAUUUACUGGGCGUAAAGGGCGUGUAGGCGGAUUGGCAAGCCGGUGGUGAAAGGCCUGGGCUUAACCCGGGAUGGUCUUCCGGAACUGCCAGUCUAGAGAGAGUCAGAGGCAGGUGGAAUUCCCGGUGUAGAGGUGAAAUUCGUAGAGAUCGGGAGGAACACCCGCGGCGAAGGCGGCCUGCUGGGACUCUUCUGACGCUGAGGCGCGAAAGCGUGGGUAGCAAACAGGAUUAGAAACCCCGGUAGUCC
rnacentral:rRNA from 1 species